AUUGAACGCUGGCGGCAUGCCUUACACAUGCAAGUCGAACGGUAACGGGCCUUCGGGUGCCGACGAGUGGCGAACGGGUGAGUAAUGCAUCGGAACGUACCUUUCAGUGGGGGAUAACGUAGCGAAAGUUACGCUAAUACCGCAUAUUCUGUGAGCAGGAAAGCAGGGGAUCGCAAGACCUUGCGCUGAUUGAGCGGCCGAUGUCAGAUUAGCUAGUUGGUGAGGUAAAGGCUCACCAAGGCGACGAUCUGUAGCGGGUCUGAGAGGAUGAUCCGCCACACUGGAACUGAGACACGGUCCAGACUCCUACGGGAGGCAGCAGUGGGGAAUUUUGGACAAUGGGGGCAACCCUGAUCCAGCCAUGCCGCGUGCAGGAUGAAGGCCUUCGGUUGUAACUGCUUUGUACGACGAAAAGGUUCUCUCUAAUACAGGGGCGUGAUGACGGUACCGUAAGAAUAAGCACCGGCUAACUACGUGCCAGCAGCCGAC
rnacentral:rRNA from 1 species